GACGCGGGAUUUAGUUGAAUCAGUCAUCAUAAAGUCGCAGCGUUUACCUCAGAAGAACAUUAAAGUAAGUUCAUUUAUUCAUUUAAACGUUGGUUUCAAUGUUGAUAUCAGUUAUAUAAGUUCUACACAGAUUAAUAAAUCCAUAUAAUAAAUAAAAUGCAUAUUUAUAACUUUAGAUAUUUUUUUAAAAUCUUGAUGAUUUGAUUUGAGUCGUCAAAUCGUGCUCUUGUCAUCUGAUUUACACUCAACAUAUCGUUAUGAAACUAUAUAAAGCAAUAUAAAGGUAAAUAAAUAACAUGGACAGCUGUUAGGACAAUCUGUCGGUUAGUGACAUUUUUUAAAUAGCGUAUGAUAUAAAUCUCCUACCGAGUGUAAUAAUGUAUGUUGUGAAAUUCAUUUCUGUUUAUUGUAAAUUAUAUUUUGUUGAAAUGUUAUAUAAUGUUAUAUAUUGGUUAGAUAAGUUUAAAAAUUAAGGAUUAUGACUGAACUGAUUGAUAAGAACCUUUGCAUUAUAUAAAAACAAUACUGGCAUGCAAAUGUUAUUAUCAAGGCUAAGUUUGUGUAUAUCAUGUAGAAUAUGAAGUUAUUUUUAUAUAUGUAUCUCUUCAUCUUUAUGUUUAUCUCUCUCUCUCUAUAUAUAUAUACAUUUCCUAGUAGAUUGAGGAAGAUGAUGAAGCAGAAAUAUGAGGAAGAGAUCCAGAUGCUCCAGCAGGAUAUUAAAAUGCUGGAGUCUGAACAGGAGGAGACUUUAAGAAAGUCAGUCUGUAAGGAAAGAGGAGGAGCACAAAAACACUCUUGCAAAGCUGGGGCAAGUUCAAGUUCAAAACGGUGCGCAACGUUUUGCUACGGUUUCCGGAUUGAACGUCAUGUUUCCUGGAAACGGCAUGCACCGGUGUGCAACGGGGUUUGAGAUGCGUUUUCUCUUGUUUGGUGGGUGUGUCAGAACUGCAGUCCAAUCAGCAGCAACAUGUAUUUAAAGCACGCGGUAUUAAAGUGAACUCGCACAAUGGCUUCAAGGAAAAUAAUGUAUAAAUGUGUUCGUUGCAGCUCGGUAUACGCAACAACUGAGGAUAUUAGAAGACAUGUUUGUCGUAAGUUUUAUUGUAAAAAUAUAGGAUAUCAACAUAAUGAUGUAGUUGUUUAUAUUUUAGCUUCAUUGCAAGUGUAUGACAUUUGGUAUAGAAAAUAAACAAUGGUAAUUAAGUGCUUUUCCUAAAAAUGAGAAAGAAAUACAGGGUAUUAAAACCGUAUGAACUACAAAUAAAGUCAGUAUGUGAGGCUAAAUAGAUGGCUCCUAAAAUUCUUCACAAAGAAACCAAAGAAUGGCCUUUUUUUUUCAAAGAAUGGCCUUCUCAGCUGCCAUAGUUGCAACUCUUGCGUCAUCAGAACAGUGUGUUCAACGCAUCACCGUUUCUGUUUAAAAAACGUGCAAUGUUUUGUCGGGGCUGAACGCAGCCCAGCUCUCAAAAGUCAGAGAGCCGGAAAGAAAAACCUCAGACAACAGACAGAAAUGAAUGGGAUCGCAGCUGGUUGCAGCAAACCCGUUAAUUUAAAAAAACCAUUAGUAAUAAUCUAUUUUAUACGUUUUGGGUUUUUCUUAGAAAUAGUUCACCAAAAAUAAAAAAAGUUGCUUAAAAUGUACUCACCUUCAGGCCAUCAAAGAUGUAGAUGAGUUUGUUUCUGGAAGCAGAUUUGGAGAAAUGUAACACUUGCUCACCAAUGGAUCCAUUGCAGUGAAUGGGUGCCGUCAGAAGCAUCAGCUGAUAAAACAUCACAAUGAUCCACAAGUAAUCCACAAUACUGCACUUCCUUAAUUUUGAAGCAAAAAGCUGUUUGUAAUAAACAAAUCCAUCAUUAAGACCGCUAUUGCUAAACACUAGUUCUCUGUCCUUAAUAUUGCUUUCUCCAGUGAAAAAGUUCUCUGUUGAAUUGGGAGAGAAAUGCAUAUGGAGGAUUCACAGGAGGAAGUGUUAUGGAUUAUGGAGUUCUUGGCCAAAAGCAAUGGUUUGAAUUUAAAAUGCCUUAAUGAUGGAUUUGUUUUUUACAAACGUAGUCAGGGUUUGAUGCAAACAGGACAUGGCCUUAAAGCACCACUAUGUAAUUUUUUCUGUCUUCUAAAUUUGCUAAAUAUAAUGAGCGAGUGCAUCAUAAA
rnacentral:lncRNA from 1 species